AGACCAUCUGUCGAGAAAAGCCGCUAUUGUGUAUACCGUACCCGUACCGUAAACCGACACAGGUGGAUGAGGAGAGAAUCCUAAGGCCGGCGGGAGAAGCAUUGUUAAGGAACUCGGCAAAAUGACCCCGUAACUUCGGGAGAAGGGGUGCUCACGCAAGUGAGCCGCAGAGAACUGGCCCAAGCAACUGUUUAGCAAAAACACAGGUCUAUGCAAAACCGAAAGGUGAGGUAUAUGGGCUGACGCCUGCCCGGUGCUGGAAGGUUAAGAGGAGAUGUUAGAGCAAUCGAAGCAUUGAAUUUAAGCCCCAGUAAACGGCGGCCGUAACAAUAACGGUCCUAAGGUAGCGAAAUUCCUUGUCGGGUAAGUUCCGACCCGCACGAAAGGCGUAAUGAUUUGGGCACUGUCUCGACAAUGCACCCGGUGAAAUUGAAAUACCAGUGAAGAUGCUGGUUACCUGCGCCAGGACGGAAAGACCCCAUGGAGCUUUACUCUAGCUUGAUACUGGGAUUCGGUAUUGCAUGUACAGGAUAGGUGGGAGACGAAGAGGUGAUGACGCCAGUUGUCACGGAGUCGAUGUUGGGAUACCACCCCUGCAGUACUGGGUUUCUAGCCUGCGGCCGUGACCCGGCCGGGGGACAAUGUCUGGUGGGGAGUUUGACUGGGGCGGUCGCCUCCGAAAGGGUAUCGGAGGCGCUCAAAGGUUCCCUCAGAAUGGUUGGAAACCAUUCGAAGAGUGCAAAGGCAGAAGGGAGCUUGACUGCGACACCGACGGGUGGAGCAGGUACGAAAGUAGGACUUAGUGAUCCGGUGGUAUGAAAGUGGGAUUGCCAUCGCUCAACGGAUAAAAGCUACCCUGGGAUAACAGGCUUAUCACUCCCAAGAGUUCACAUCGACGGAGUGGUUUGGCACCUCGAUGUCGGCUCAUCGCAUCCUGGGGCUGUAGUAGGUCCCAAGGGUUGGGCUGUUCGCCCAUUAAAGCGGUACGCGAGCUGGGUUCAGAACGUCGUGAGACAGUUCGGUCCCUAUCCGGCGUGGGCGCAGGAUAUCUGAGAGGAGCUGUCCUUAGUACGAGAGGACCGGGAUGGACUGACCUCUGGUGCAUCGGUUGAGCCACCAGGCUCAUGGCCGAGUAGCCAAGUCGGGACGGGAUAAACGCUGAAGGCAUCUAAGCGUGAAGCCCCCCUCUAGAUGAGAUAUCCCAUAGAGUUAAUCUAGUAAGACCCCUUGAAGACGACGAGGUAGAUAGGCAGAAGGUGGAAGUGUGGUGACAUAUGGAGCUGAUCUGUACUAAUAGGUCGAGGGCUUAGC
rnacentral:rRNA from 1 species